AGUCUUCCAUCUGUUGUGGGCAAAUAAAGUGGAUGUGGCUGUCGACACCGCCCGCCGUCAGAAUGCGGCCUUCACCUGCGAUAAUCUCUGUCCCUGGUCCGAUGAUAAUAUCGACACCGGAUUGCGUGUCGGGGUUGCCAGCUUUGCCGAUGGCGUGGAUGAGGCCGUCUUUCAGCGCAACGUCCGCUUUGUAGAUGCCAGAAUGGUCCACGAUCAGCGCAUUGGUGAUGACCGUAUCCACAGCACCACCAGCGCGGGUGACUUGGGAUUGGCCCAUUCCGUCGCGGAU
rnacentral:sRNA from 1 species